AUUGAACGCCGGCGGCAUGCCUUACACAUGCAAGUCGAACGGUAACAGGUCUUCGGAUGCAGACGAGUGGCGAACGGGUGAGUAAUACAUCGGAACGUGCCUAGUAGUGGGGGAUAACUACUCGAAAGAGUGGCUAAUACCGCAUGAGAUCUACGGAUGAAAGCAGGGGAUCGCAAGACCUGUUGCUACUAGAGCGGCCGAUGGCAGACUAGGUAGUUGGUGGGAUAAAAGCUUACCAAGCCGACGAUCUGUAGCUGGUCUGAGAGGACGAUCAGCCACACUGGGACUGAGAAACGGCCCAGACUCCUACGGGAGGCAGCAGUGGGGAAUUUUGGACAAUGGGCGCAAGCCUGAUCCAGCAAUGCCGCGUGCAGGAUGAAGGCCUUCGGGUUGUAAACUGCUUUUGUACGGAACGAAAAGCCCCGGGUUAAUACCCUGGGGUCAUGACGGUACCGUAAGAAUAAGCACCGGCUAACUACGUGCCAGCCGCCGCCGUAA
rnacentral:rRNA from 1 species